rnacentral:rRNA from 1 species
GCGGGACACGUGGUAUCCUGUCUGAAUAUGGGGGGACCAUCCUCCAAGGCUAAAUACUCCUGACUGACCGAUAGUGAACCAGUACCGUGAGGGAAAGGCGAAAAGAACCCCGGCGAGGGGAGUGAAAAAGAACCUGAAACCGUGUACGUACAAGCAGUGGGAGCCUCUUAAUGGGGUGACUGCGUACCUUUUGUAUAAUGGGUCAGCGACUUAUAUUCUGUAGCAAGGUUAACCGAAUAGGGGAGCCGAAGGGAAACCGAGUCUUAACUGGGCGUUAAGUUGCAGGGUAUAGACCCGAAACCCGGUGAUCUAGCCAUGGGCAGGUUGAAGGUUGGGUAACACUAACUGGAGGACCGAACCGACUAAUGUUGAAAAAUUAGCGGAUGACUUGUGGCUGGGGGUGAAAGGCCAAUCAAACCGGGAGAUAGCUGGUUCUCCCCGAAAGCUAUUUAGGUAGCGCCUCGUGAAUUCAUCUCCGGGGGUAGAGCACUGUUUCGGCAAGGGGGUCAUCCCGACUUACCAACCCGAUGCAAACUGCGAAUACCGGAGAAUGUUAUCACGGGAGACACACGGCGGGUGCUAACGUCCGUCGUGAAGAGGGAAACAACCCAGACCGCCAGCUAAGGUCCCAAAGUCAUGGUUAAGUGGGAAACGAUGUGGGAAGGCCCAGACAGCCAGGAUGUUGGCUUAGAAGCAGCCAUCAUUUAAAGAAAGCGUAAUAGCUCACUGGUCGAGUCGGCCUGCGCGGAAGAUGUAACGGGGCUAAACCAUGCACCGAAGCUGCGGCAGCGACACUAUGUGUUGUUGGGUAGGGGAGCGUUCUGUAAGCCUGUGAAGGUGGCCUGUGAGGGUUGCUGGAGGUAUCAGAAGUGCGAAUGCUGACAUAAGUAACGAUAAAGCGGGUGAAAAGCCCGCUCGCCGGAAGACCAAGGGUUCCUGUCCAACGUUAAUCGGGGCAGGGUGAGUCGACCCCUAAGGCGAGGCCGAAAGGCGUAGUCGAUGGGAAACAGGUUAAUAUUCCUGUACUUGGUGUUACUGCGAAGGGGGGACGGAGAAGGCUAUGUUGGCCGGGCGACGGUUGUCCCGGUUUAAGCGUGUAGGCUGGUUUUCCAGGCAAAUCCGGAAAACCAAGGCUGAGGCGUGAUGACGAGGCACUACGGUGCUGAAGUGACAAAUGCCCUGCUUCCAGGAAAAGCCUCUAAGCAUCAGGUAACAUCAAAUCGUACCCCAAACCGACACAGGUGGUCAGGUAGAGAAUACCAAGGCGCUUGAGAGAACUCGGGUGAAGGAACUAGGCAAAAUGGUGCCGUAACUUCGGGAGAAGGCACGCUGAUAUGUAGGUGAAGCGACUUGCUCGUGGAGCUGAAAUCAGUCGAAGAUACCAGCUGGCUGCAACUGUUUAUUAAAAACACAGCACUGUGCAAACACGAAAGUGGACGUAUACGGUGUGACGCCUGCCCGGUGCCGGAAGGUUAAUUGAUGGGGUUAGCGGUAACGCGAAGCUCUUGAUCGAAGCCCCGGUAAACGGCGGCCGUAACUAUAACGGUCCUAAGGUAGCGAAAUUCCUUGUCGGGUAAGUUCCGACCUGCACGAAUGGCGUAAUGAUGGCCAGGCUGUCUCCACCCGAGACUCAGUGAAAUUGAACUCGCUGUGAAGAUGCAGUGUACCCGCGGCAAGACGGAAAGACCCCGUGAACCUUUACUAUAGCUUGACACUGAACAUUGAGCCUUGAUGUGUAGGAUAGGUGGGAGGCUUUGAAGUGUGGACGCCAGUCUGCAUGGAGCCGACCUUGAAAUACCACCCUUUAAUGUUUGAUGUUCUAACGUUGGCCCGUAAUCCGGGUUGCGGACAGUGUCUGGUGGGUAGUUUGACUGGGGCGGUCUCCUCCUAAAGAGUAACGGAGGAGCACGAAGGUUGGCUAAUCCUGGUCGGACAUCAGGAGGUUAGUGCAAUGGCAUAAGCCAGCUUGACUGCGAGCGUGACGGCGCGAGCAGGUGCGAAAGCAGGUCAUAGUGAUCCGGUGGUUCUGAAUGGAAGGGCCAUCGCUCAACGGAUAAAAGGUACUCCGGGGAUAACAGGCUGAUACCGCCCAAGAGUUCAUAUCGACGGCGGUGUUUGGCACCUCGAUGUCGGCUCAUCACAUCCUGGGGCUGAAGUAGGUCCCAAGGGUAUGGCUGUUCGCCAUUUAAAGUGGUACGCGAGCUGGGUUUAGAACGUCGUGAGACAGUUCGGUCCCUAUCUGCCGUGGGCGCUGGAGAACUGAGGGGGGCUGCUCCUAGUACGAGAGGACCGGAGUGGACGCAUCACUGGUGUUCGGGUUGUCAUGCCAAUGGCACUGCCCGGUAGCUAAAUGCGGAAGAGAUAAGUGCUGAAAGCAUCUAAGCACGAAACUUGCCCCGAGAUGAGUUCUCCCUGAGACUUAGAGUCUCCUGAAGGAACGUUGAAGACGACGACGUUGAUAGGCCGGGUGUGUAAGCGCAGCGAUGCGUUGAGCUAACCGGUACUAAUGAACCGUGAGGCUUAACCUUACAACGCCGAAG